GACGAACGCUGGCGGCGUGCCUAAUACAUGCAAGUCGUGCGGACCUUUUAAAAGCUUGCUUUUUACUGGUUAGCGGCGGACGGGUGAGUAACACGUGUGCAACCUGCCUGUAAGACUGGGAUAACGCCGGGAAACCGGGGCUUAUCCCAGAUCGUUUUUUCCUCCGCAGUGAGGAUAAGGGAAAGGCGGCUUCGGCUGCCACUCUCACAUGGGAUCGCGGCGCAUUAGCUAGUUGGCGGGGUAACGGCCCACCAAGGCAACGAUGCGUAGCCGACCUGCGAGGGUGAUCGGCCACAUUGGGACUGAGACACGGCCCAAACUCCUACGGGAGGCAGCAGUAGGGAAUCUUCCGCAAGGGACGAGAGUCUGACGGAGCAACGCCGCGUGAGUGAAGAAGGCCGUCGGGUCGUAAAACUCUGUUGCCGGGGAAGAACAAGUGCCGUUCGAACAGGGCGGCGCCUUGACGGUACCCGGCCAGAAAGCCACGGCUAACUACGUG
rnacentral:rRNA from 1 species